GCAAAGAGCUCGGUGGAGGUAGCCGCGAGCACGAGUUCGACGCCGACGACGCGUCGCGAAGCCAUUCGAGGGUACGGUUGGGAUCGUAGUGCUGCGAGGAAGCUAGGCGAGGGUGCGUUUUCGCCGUUCUCGACGCCGCGUCGAUGUCCGAUUAGCCUUUGAGCGUCGACCGUUGGUAUUUCAGUUCGUACUCGGCGUAGGAGCGUCGAUUUUCGACGGGACUUGGUUCGUUGAAUUCGGGACUUCGAGAGAAAUCCACGAAGCCCUUACUUACUGGAUUUGGUAAAGGUUUGCUAGAGUUUGGCGGGAGCUUGACUUCGGGCCUUGGGAGGUUUUCGGACGUUUCGGCAGGUUGUUCCGCAGCCGAGGGGAGUUCCGUGCUGCCAGGGAUUAGCGAGCGAGGUUUCGGCUGCUGCACCUUCCGCUGAUCAGGAUCGAGGC